GCAGCACACACAGCGCUUCUGUUUUCUCCCGUUGGUUGAGACCGUCUGAAUGUGGGUUCUGCACCCUCCGGACUCAUUUGUUCCAGCAGACCCUCCUCCCUGGUGCCACCCAUCAGCUCCUCUGCUCCUUCUCCGCAGCUGUCACCCUCAGAACACGCAAAGCUUCCUGCCAAUUUGAAUGGGCACAUCCUGGGAUGCUGAGAUAACCCCAUGCUUGGAGUCACUCCUGGGAGUAAAAGCUACAAGACCCAUGCUAAAAU
rnacentral:lncRNA from 1 species